ensembl:lncRNA
CUGCUGUCAGUUUGAGCUCACUCACUAUUACACUUUAAGAGCUGAAAAGUUUCAUACCAUUUUAUUUCAAAGCACUUCAUUUAAAAUCUUGAAAUCGUAUGUUAUUAACUGUAAAAUAUUUAAGAUAAAUAAGCAUUUUUUUUAAUUGUUUGUUUAUUUGUUUGUUUGUUUUUUUAGCCACAACAGUAGUAAAAUCCUAAAAAUGUUGUGGUGAAUUUCUAUCAUGAAUUCAGGACAGUUUGAUAAUACGUUCAUGAGGAAACAUACGCAGCUCCACCGGAUGUAAAAUCCUUUAAUUUCCAGCCACAAGAUUAAAGCGGUUAGAUGUCAAAAUCCUCUUACCAACCCAAAAUACACUGAAGGUUGAUCAAUUAUUUCAUUAACUAAGUAGAGGUCCAAGACAUGACGAAAGACAAAUUGAAUCAAUUACCAGAGGCUAAUCAGAACAAAGGGAACUUUAAUUACAGGAAGUUUAAUUAAAACGCUUGCCAAGUGUGAUAUUAAGGGAGCGCUUAAUAUAUUCUGGUGGAAAAGCCACACAUCCACAGGAAAUGAAAAACAGGAACAUUUUGUUUUACCUCAAACAGGUUGUACAGACUGUUUAUGAAUUGUAUUGCCUCCAUGGAGAACACAUUAACAGUUCAGGAAGUCAAAGGAAACGGUCUGUUUGUGGUGCAGUGAGAUUGUGGAGAGUGUUAAUCUGUAAGGCUUUGGAUCAGAUUAAACAUCUGCAGCGGGAGGAUCAGCAGAUCAAGUCACUCUUUCAGUCUGUACAAGGCCACAGGCAGAUGGAACUCUGCUGAAACGGGAGAGUGACACCUGACCCGACGGCGACCUGCCGAGCUGCCCAGGUGUGGCCUGGGAGAUUCUCACCUGACCUUUACCCCGAGCGUCCCCACCCUGCGAGCAAGGCCGAGGUUAAACGUGCUCCAGAGAGCAGCAUACCGUUACUGCUCGUACAGACGCCGGUGAACCUGUGCUGCUGCGCUCCUUGCAACAAACUCGACCCAGAGCUUUACAGUCGAUUACAAGUGCGAUAUCACAGCUAGAAAAAUGAAUGAGUAAUAGAAACAGAAUCGUUUUGGGGAUGUAGUAACAUGCUCUGGUCCAAUAGUGGGUAACGUUACAGGUAUGUUGUGUGCAGUUACGUUCUCAUCUUGGUGGAAAUACCAUAAUCACUGAAAAAAUGUUGAUUGAGUCUGAAACAAAAUGAAAACAUUAAAAUGUAGCAAAAAUAAAUGACUCCGAUGUAAAUAUGACAGAUUAAGCAAAAAAAUGCAUCGCUAUAUCAAACUUAGCUGCUGAUAUUUUGCUUAUUUACAUAUAUUAUCAGAUUUUAAACAAUCAAAAGUAGGUUUUAAGCCAGGCUCAUUGUAAAACGUGUCUCUACAUAAAUGUUUGCAAAACUCCAAAAACAUACCUACAAUAUGCACACAAUUCACAGCAGUUUCCAUCUCAUAUAAACACUAGUGGCAGUAAAACAGGUUACACUAUUUUGAUAGUCCACUUUAGACAUUCUAAUAACUGUAUGUAACUUUGCAACAACAUGUCGACUAACGCACAUUAAUUUGCAACUAAUGCACAUGUCAACUAACUCACAUUAGUAUAUUAGUAGACUGUUAGGUUAGGGUUAGUAAAAUAAGUUGACGUACUUGUAAAUUUACUUAUAGUCAGUAGAAUGUAUUUUGGGAGCAUCUAAAUAAAGUGUUAUCAGAUAUUAAUCAGACAGUCUGCUAAUACUCUAAUGACUGCUAGAUCAAAUACAGUAGAUGCAAAUUUACUUACAGUUAGUAGAAUGUCUAAAGUGCACUAUCAAAAUAAAGUGUUACUGUAAAUCACCCACAACUUUUAUUCCUUUUCACACAAAUUGUGAUUACAAAAGCAGAUUAUCAAUUACUAAAGACUUAUUUUCAUGUAGCUUCUGCACAAUAUGAACUCAAAACACUUUUAUCACUGCAUGAUUUGUAAACGAAUACAUUGACGUUUGCUUCACAUAACUAACUCCAUAUUUGUGGUUUUUGUGUGACAAGGUAAACUUGCUCAGUAGCGCACCCGGUACAUCACUGCACUUGUGAUGUGAAACGUUUAAGUUUGAGUCUGGUCAAACGUGUCACAAUAAAAGAGCUUUUUGCAUGUUUUGACAAAAUUGGAUGGUUAAUCUCAAGCAUUUCCUUAAUUUCCUUUAAAACUAUACUAAUAUUUGAAAAAAAAAAAGUUUAUUUGUGGUAAAAUUAUUAUUUGUUGGAAAUUAUAUUUGGUAUUUGGGUAGUUUGUUUAAAACAAUAGAUAUAAUAUGAAUCAUUU